rnacentral:lncRNA from 1 species
AAAACUACGACAUCUGCCUGAGACGAAAUCCUCCGUCGCCUCUCCGUCAUGUCACCGUUCUAGUGGACCUUCUCCGGCGCUGCUCCUUCUCCGACUUCACCGUCGUCCUUGAAGCUCGCCAUCGUCACGAUUCAUGGCUUUAAACAAGCCGAUGAAUCUCACCACCGUCUCUGCAAAUGAAGCACCACGAUUCCAGCUUAACCGCCGUUUCGUCGCUACCGGCGUUCAUCUCCACUGUCGUCUUUACCGACGAUAGCAUCUGCUGUCGCUGAUUUAACCAUCACCGACCCAACAUCUCAACUUUUUCACCGGAGCAUGUCAAAACCCAGAAAUCGUCGACUAUUUCUAGAUCCUCUCAUUUCCGAUGAUAGAUUGACGUUAAUUCAUCCUCACCGCUGACUGAUUCCGCUGCUACCUUAACCGAUGCAGCUCAGCUCUGCAAUCCCAGGUAAAUUCCGAAACUCCCAUAUCCAUCUCUUUACCAAAAUGUUAUUUCAGUUUCUGUUGCUGUGAUUUGCAAUUACUUCUGAAAUCUUACUGUCUUCCUUUUCAUCUGCAGCUGCUGAAGACACUUUUGAUUUCAAAAAACUAAGCAUCGUGAAUUGCAGGUAAAACCCUAAAUUCCUUUGACGCUUCCAAACUUUCAAAUUUGACCACCUGAAAAUUUUGCCAUUUGAGAAGAUCAACCCGUAAUGAAACACUUCUUCUCUGUUACCCUGAAAUGAUGACUUUUACCAAUCUCAUCUCACAUUUUUCAAACUUUACAAUCUGAAAAACUUUGUCGAUUUCUUAUGUUACCGAUACUGAAUUUUUUUUUUCAAUAUCUUCUGUCUUUGUGAGAUGCCCAAAUCGACAAGAGCAAUCUCAAGACGCUUUUGAAAACAACUACAGAAUUACAUUGAGAAGCACCAGGAACUUCUCAAACGUGUUUCCAGGUAAGCACUUUGUGAGCAUGUCUGCUGGAUUAGCUGUAGUGUGAACCUUUAGGAUCUUGACUGAACCUUCAUCGACUAUAUCUCUGAUAAAAUGAUAUUUGGUAUCAACAUGCUUUGUUCUGUCAUGGUGCACACUGUUCUUUGCUAAACAUAUAGCACUUUGUGAAUCACAAUUGAGUUUAAAACUGUCCUCUUUAAAACCCAAUUCACCACACAAUCCCUUAAGCCACAGACCUUCCUUAGUAGCCUCAGAUAGAGACAUAUAUUCUGCUUCCGUAGUAGAUAAAGCAACUACUUGUUGUAGACAUGAUCUCCAACUGACCGUAUUGCCACCAACUUUGAAAACAUAGCCUGAAACUGACCUUCUCCUGUCUAAGUCUGUAGCAUAAUCUGAAUCACAAAACCCUUCAAUCUCAAAUUUCUCUGAUUUUGUGAAAGUAAGACAUACUCCUGUAGCUCCUUUUAAAUACCUCAAAAUCCACUUAACCGCAGCCCAAUGAGAUCUUCCUGGAUUCGCCAUGAAUCUGCUAACCAAUCCAAUGGCAAAGGCUAGAUCAGGUCUUGAACCGAUCAUAGCAUACAUCAGACUCCCCACUGCACUUGCAUAGGGAACUGAAUCCAUCAAUCUACUCUCUGUUUUUACCUCCUGCUCUGUUAGACUCUUAAGCUUAAACUGCGAAUUACUUGGAGUUACACAGCCUUGCAAUCCUCCAUGUUAAAAGUUCUUAAACUGCUUAGAUAUCUUUCCUGUGAUACUUGAGAGUACCUUUCUUUNNNNNNNNNNNNNNNNNNNNNNNNNNNNNNNNNNNNNNNNNNNNNNNNNNNNNNNNNNNNNNNNNNNNNNNNNNNNNNNNNNNNNNNNNNNNNNNNNNNNNNNNNNNNNNNNNNNNNNNNNNNNNNNNNNNNNNNNNNNNUUGACUUCAUGAAUUCAUCAAACUUCUGAUUCCAUUGUCUAGGUGACUGUUUCAAACCAUAUAGAGAUUUCUUAAGAAGACAGACCUUGUCUUCGUUUCCCUUCUCUAUAAAACCCUCUGGCUGACUCAUGUAAAUGACUUCAUCAAGUGUACCAUGUAAGAAAGCAGUCUUCACGUCUAGUUGCUCCAAUUCCAGAUCAAAAUUAACCACAACUGACAACAUGAUUCUAAUAGAAACAUGCUUAACCACCGGAGCAAAUAUUUCGUUGUAAUCCACUCCUUCAACCUGUGUAAAUCCCUUAGCUACAAGUCUUGCUUUGUAUCUAGGUUCUUCAACACCUGGAAUGCCCUCCUUGUACUUGAAGAUCCACUUACACCCAACUAUUUUUUGCUUUCUCGGCUUAGAGACAAUCUCAAAAGUUUCAUUUUUAUCCAGAGAUUGUUUUUCUUCUUCCAUAGCCUGCUUCCACUUCUUCCAGUCUUUACUUUGUCUAGCUUCUGCGACUGACUUUGGUUCAUUUAACUCUAUGCUUUUCAGCGCUAGUUUAAAGCAUAAAGCUAAAUAAUCAGCAUCCUCAAACCUCGAUGGUGGUUUGAUAGUUCUUCGCUCUCUGUCUCUUGCCAGCAAAUAAUCAUCAAGAGACUCUUCUUCAUCCUGAUUUUCUUGUUCUUCCUCAGAUUCCUGCUCCUCUUCUGAUUCUGAAUGUUCCGAAGUAGCUCCACCUUGACCAGCAGAAUCUGUAUUUCCUGAAACCUCUCCACCUUGACCAGUGGACUCUUGAACCGAACCAUUUGGAGUAGGUCCUUGGAUCAAUCCAGCUUUGAAAGUAACUUUCUUCUUCUUUGUAGAUUUUGUUACUUCAUUCUGAUCUCGGUCCUUAUACAACUUUUCCUCAUCAAAGACUACAUUCCUGCUGUUAGUACAUUUUCCAUCCUCCGGAAUCCAAACCCUGUAACCUUUAGUACCCUGUGGAUAUCCUAAGAAAAUCCCUUUAACAGCUCUUGGACUCAUCUUGUCUUGUAUUACAUGAACAUAUGCAACACAACCAAAUCGUCUGAGAUGACUGUAAUCAACCUUUGAUCCUGACCAAACCUCUUCAGGAAUCUUGAACUUCAGUGAUGCAUUUGGUGAUCUGUUUAUGAGAUAAACUGCAGUAGAAGCUGCCUCAGCCCAAAAUUUCUUUUCCAUUCCUGUUUCUGCUAACAUACACCUGAUCUUCUCAGCUAUUGUCCGAUUCAUCCUCUCAGAUACUCCAUUUUGCUGUGGAGUAUAAGUGCAAGUUCGAUGUCUUUUAAUCCCUGAAUCCUGACAUAGCUUAUCCAUCUGAUUGUUGCAGAACUCUAAUCCAUUAUCAGUUCGCAGACGCUUUAUCUUCUUACUCUUCUGAUUUUCCACUAGUGCUUUCCACUCUGAAAAAUUUUCAAACACUUCGUCCUUACUCCUUAGGAAUCUGAUCUAAACCUUCCUUGAGUAAUCAUCAAUGAAAGUAAGAAAGUAUCUACACCCUGUCAUGCUUGGCUCGUUUGACACUGAGCCCCAAAGAUCACUGUGAAUGUAUUCCAAAAUACACGUAGUAGUGUGUUGGCCAACUGGAAAACUCUGCUUGUGAGACUUACCAAACACACACUUUUCACAGAAAUCUAAAGUGUGGACUUCCUUUGAGUCUAGAUAACCUCCUUUGACCAGAAGAUUCAUGUUCUUAAGACUCAUAUGUCCUAGCCUUGAAUGCCAUCUGUUCGUUAGAUUUACCUCCGUCCUGACCACAAAUGCUUCUCCUCUCACAACUGUUCCCUGCAAAUAGUACAGCCCGUUCUCAUAUUUUCCUGAAAUCACUUUCUGGCCCUUCUUGUAGAAAGUAACUAUGAAGUCCUUCCCUUCAUACUUGCACCCGUUCUUCUCUAGCUGGCCAUAAGAGAUGAGAUUUUUGCUCAUGGUUGGCAUGUAUCUCACAUCAGUUAAUAUCACGGUAGCUCCUUCUGAGUUUAUGAUCUUGAUUUUCCCAAUGCCUUUGACUUCGCUGUGAGUGUUGUUACCCAUCAUCACCUUUCCGCCAUCAACUUCUUUGAAGUCAUACAAGACAUCUCUAUCAGGUGUAAUGUGGAAAGUACACCCAGAAUCUAUGACCCAUUCAUCCAUAGUGUCUUGGACGCUUGCUGUUAAGAUCAUAGGUUCCUCUCUUUCAUGUACUACAUUUGCAGAGUCUUGUUUCCCAUACUUUCUUUCAGGGCACUCUUUCUUGNNNNNNNNNNNNNNNNNNNNNNNNNNNNNNNNNNNNNNNNNNNNNNNNNNNNNNNNNNNNNNNNNNNNNNNNNNNNNNNNNNNNNNNNNNNNNNNNNNNNAUAACCUUCCGCAAGACCAGAUUACUAAGGCUGGAACAUAUCAAGUUCUUUGCCUUUUUGUCUGUCUCCUUCUUCUUUGGAUCAACCGGAGAUGGAGUUGCCUUAGCAUCUGUCUCAUCUUCUUUUCCUUUUCCUUUGUCAGAUGCUGCGCUAGUUUCUUCCUCACUAAUUGCAGAAUCUAACCCUAGAUUUUCAAGAGCCAUAAGCAUCUUGAAUUUCCACAUACCAAAAUCUCCUUUACCAUCAAACUUCUCCACCUUAAUUUUACCAAAAGAUGGUUCCAUGAUUCAGACUUUGUAGAUAAGAAAAUCUAAUUUCUUAUUGUAUCUUUGAUCCUCUCUUGCUGUAUUAGUUCUUUCGCUGGUCUAUACGCAGCGGUUGUGCAUAAAUUCUGUUCAAUCAAAUUGUGAGGUUUUAAUAUUGAUUUCAACCUCUAGUCUUAGCUCUUAACCUGAACUACUUAGAUCAAUUAACCUUGAUACUUAGUUUGUUUGUUGUUUUCAAGCAAGACACAAGAAAAUUUGGUAACCCAGUUCCCUUUCGGUACGUCUGGGGAGAGACGGUACUCUCAACGGUCCACUAUAAUCGAUCAAGUGUUUACAAUAAUGAGUUUGUUACUUCACCGUUAAACUCACGUAUCUCUCUUCUUUCCUUUGUUUCAGGUACCACAAAGAAGAAAGACCAGAAACUAAUUCACCUCAGUUUCAACCACAGAUGCCUUAACCCAGAAGAUGAAGACGAAAGCCUGAAAAAACCCUUAACCGUGUAUCUCUGUUUCUCUUCUCCUUCUCUCGUUAAUUAUCUCUGCUCUCUCUCAAAGUCUCCAACUCCAAAAAAGUUUUAUAUAUAGCUUUGAGUAAUCAUGUGGGCCUUAUACCCUAGCCCAACAUCAGUUUCUCUUGCACACUCUUGUAAACACACGUAUGGGCUUGAGCCCAAAAGAAUAGAAGCUUUGCCCAGAUAAUGUGUAGUUGACCAUUAUCUUCUCCUUUGGUUUUAUCGACAAACUCCACAAAUCUCCACCUUGUCGAUUCAACCACCAAAAACUACGACAUCUGCCUGAGACGAAAUCCUCCGUCGCCUCUCCGUCAUGUCACCGUUCUAGUGGACCUUCUCCGGCGCUGCUCCUUCUCCGACUUCACCGUCGUCCUUGAAGCUCGCCAUCGUCACGAUUCAUGGCUUUAAACAAGCCGAUGAAUCUCACCACCGUCUCUGCAAAUGAAGCACCACGAUUCCAGCUUAACCGCCGUUUCGUCGCUACCGGCGUUCAUCUCCACUGUCGUCUUUACCGACGAUAGCAUCUGCUGUCGCUGAUUUAACCAUCACCGACCCAACAUCUCAACUUUUUCACCGGAGCAUGUCAAAACCCAGAAAUCGUCGACUAUUUCUAGAUCCUCUCAUUUCCGAUGAUAGAUUGACGUUAAUUCAUCCUCACCGCUGACUGAUU